rnacentral:rRNA from 1 species
GACAGAGGAGCCAAGCGUUGUCCGGAUUGACUGGGCGUAAAGCGCACGCAGGCGGCCCGGCGCGUGGGGUGUGAAAGCUGGCGGCUUAACUGCCAGACGCCAUCCCAUACGGCUGGGCUCGAGCCCUGCAGAGGUCCAUGGAAUUGCCGGUGUAGUGGUGAAAUGCGUAGAGAUCGGCAGGAACACCCAGGGGGAAACCAGUGGACUGG